UACGUAGGGUGCAAGCGUUACUCGGAAUUACUGGGCGUAAAGCGCGCGUAGGCGGUUUGUUAAGUCUGUUGUGAAAGCCCCGGGCUCAACCUGGGAAUGGCAAUGGAUACUGGCAAGCUAGAGUGCGGUAGAGGGUAGUGGAAUUCCCGGUGUAGCGGUGAAAUGCGUAGAGAUCGGGAGGAACACCAAUAGCGAAGGCAGCUCGCUGGGACGUUACUGACACUGAGGCGCGAAAGCGUGGGGAGCGAACAGG
rnacentral:rRNA from 1 species